AACGCUAGCUACAGGCUUAACACAUGCAAGUCGAGGGGCAGCGCAGUGCAGCAAUGCAUGGGCGGCGACCGGCGCACGGGUGCGUAACGCGUAUCCAACCUUCCCGUUACUCUUGGAUAGCCUUCCGAAAGGGAGAUUAAUACAGGAUGGUGUUGAAAUUCCGCAUGUUAUUUCAACUAAAGAUUUAUCGGUAACGGAUGGGGAUGCGUGACAUUAGAUAGAUGGCGGGGUAACGGCCCACCAUGUCCACGAUGUCUAGGGGUUCUGAGAGGAAGGUCCCCCACACUGGAACUGAGACACGGUCCAGACUCCUACGGGAGGCAGCAGUGAGGAAUAUUGGUCAAUGGCCGGAAGGCUGAACCAGCCAAGUAGCGUGAAGGAUGAAGGUUCUAUGGAUUGUAAACUUCUUUUGUGAGGGAAUAAAACCUCCCACGUGUGGGAGCUUGUAUGUACCUUAUGAAUAAGCAUCGGCUAACUCCGUGCCAGCAGCCGCGGUAAUACGGAGGAUGCGAGCGUUAUCCGGAUUUAUUGGGUUUAAAGGGAGCGUAGACGGGAGAUUAAGUCAGCUGUGAAAGUUUGAGGCCCAACCUUAAAAUUGCAGUUGAUACUGGUUUCCUUGAGUGCGGUUGAGGUGUGUGGAAUUCGUGGUGUAGCGGUGAAAUGCUUAGAUAUCACGAAGAACUCCGAUUG
rnacentral:rRNA from 1 species